CUGGAGAACCCCAUAGACAGAGGUGCCUGGUGGGCUAUAGUCCAUGGUACUAGCUUAUGAUGAAUGAUGUCAGAUUCAUGAGCUCCAAAGAAGAUUUAGCUUCAGGACCAGGGACCAGGCUUGAUCACUCAAGAGCUUUUGUGUAGCAGUUUUAUUAAAGUA